rnacentral:rRNA from 1 species
GGAUUAGAUACCCUGGUAGUCCGCACUGUAAACGAUGAUUACUCGCUGCUAGAGGGCAACUUUUAGUGGCUUAGCGAAAGCGAUAAGUAAUCCACCUGGGGAGUACGCCGGCAACGGUGAAACUCAAAGGAAUUGACGGGGGCCCGCACAAGCGGAGGAGCAUGUGGUUUAAUUCGAUGAUACGCGAGGAACCUUACCAGGGCUUGAAAGUUAGGGAAUAACUCUGAAAGGAGUUAGUCAGCAAUGACCCGAAACUAGGUGCUGCAUGGCUGUCGUCAGCUCGUGCCG